GUACUCUCACACCCCGAUCCUUUGGAUUAGGGGCGGUGGACUUGGGUGUUGCUGCGUUCGUGUGGCUCACCUGAAAUAGGUUCGUGCAUCUCCUGGUUGUACAUAGUACGGCGUGAUAAGUGUCUUCGCCGGCACCUUGGAAAAGGGUGGCCAAUCGGGAGCUCUGUGCUUUCAAACCGUCUUCGGACACUCUCUGACA
rnacentral:misc_RNA from 1 species